rnacentral:tRNA from 1 species
GGGGAUGUAGUUCAGUGGUAGAGCACUUGCCUAGCAAACAGAAGGGCCAGGGUUCAAUUCCUAGCACACACA